rnacentral:rRNA from 1 species
GACGAACGCUGGCGGCGUGCUUAACACAUGCAAGUCGAACGGAAAGGCCCCCUUGUGGGGUACUUGAGUGGCGAACGGGGGAGUAACACGUGAGUAACCUACCCUUGACUUUGGGAUAACUUCAGGAAACUGGGGCUAAUACCGGAUAGGAGCUCCUGCUGCAUGGUGGGGGUUGGAAAGUUUCGGCGGCUGGGGAUGGACUCGCGGCUUAUCAGCUGGUUGGUGGGGUAGUGGCUCACCAAGGCCUUGACGGGUAGCCGGCCUGAGAGGGUGACCGGCCACAUUGGGACUGAGAUACGGCCCAGACUGCUACGGGAGGCAGCAGUGGGGAAUAUUGCACAAUGAGCGGAAGCCUGAUGCGGAGACGCCGCGUGCGGGAUGACGGCCUUCGGGUUGUAAACCGCUUUCGCCUGUGACGAAGCGGUAGUGACGGUAAUGGGUAAAGAAGCACCGGCUAACUACGUG